rnacentral:rRNA from 1 species
GACGAACGCUGGCGGCGUGCUUAACACAUGCAAGUCGAACGGAAAGGCCCUGCUUUUGUGGGGUGCUCGAGUGGCGAACGGGUGAGUAACACGUGAGUAACCUGCCCUUGACUUUGGGAUAACUUCAGGAAACUGGGGCUAAUACCGGAUAGGAGCUCCUGCUGCAUGGUGGGGGUUGGAAAGUUUCGGCGGUUGGGGAUGGACUCGCGGCUUAUCAGCUUGGUGGUGGGGUAGUGGCUUACCAAGGCUUUGACGGGUAGCCGGCCUGAGAGGGUGACCGGGCACAUUGGGAACGGGGUACGGGCCAGAAUCCUAAGGGAGGGAAGAGGGGGGAAUAUUGCACAAUGGGCGGAAGCCUGAUGCAGCAACGCCGCGUGCGGGAUGACGGCCUUCGGGUUGUAAACCGCUUUCGCCUGUGACGAAGCGUGAGUGACGGUAAUGGGUAAAGAAGCACCGGCUAACUACGUG